UACAGAGGGGGCAAGCGUUAUUCGGAAUUAUUGGGCGUAAAGGGCGCGUAGGCGGUCGGACAAGUGGAAGGUGAAAUCCCCGGGCUCAACCCGGGAACUGCGUCCGAUACUGGGAGGCUUGAAUCCGGGAGAGGGAUGUGGAAUUCCAGGUGUAGCGGUGAAAUGCGUAGAUAUCUGGAGGAACACCGGUGGCGAAAGCGGCUCUCUGGGACGGUACUGACGCUGAGACGCGAAAGCGUGGGGAGCAAACAGG
rnacentral:rRNA from 1 species